GAUGAACGCUGGCGGCGUGCUUAACACAUGCAAGUCGAACGGAAAGGCCCAAGCUUGCUUGGGUACUCGAGUGGCGAACGGGUGAGUAACACGUGGGUGAUCUGCCCUGCACUUCGGGAUAAGCCUGGGAAACUGGGUCUAAUACCGGAUAGGACCACUUCUUGGAUGUUGUGGUGGAAAGUUUUUUCGGUGUGGGAUGAGCUCGCGGCCUAUCAGCUUGUUGGUGGGGUAAUGGCCUACCAACGCGUCGACGGGAAGCCGGCCUGAGAGGGUGUACGGCCACAUUGGGACUUAGGUGCGGCCCAGACGCCUACGGGAGGCAGCAGUGGGGAAUACUGCACAAUGGGCGCAAGCCUGAUGCAGCGACGCCGCGUGGGGGAUGACGGCCUUCGGGUUGUAAACGCCUUUCGCUAGGGACGAAGCGUUUUGUGACGGUACCUGGAGAAGAAGCACCGGCUAACUACGUG
rnacentral:rRNA from 1 species